rnacentral:rRNA from 1 species
GUGUCAGCCGCCGCGGUAAUACGUAGGGUGCAAGCGUUGCCCGGAUUUAUUGGGCGUAAAGGGCGCGCAGGCGGCUCGGCACGUCCGUUGUGAAAUCGCCCGGCUCAACUGGGCGGGGUCAGCGGAUACGGCCGAGCUGGAGCAAGCUAGGGGGCAAUGGAAUUCCCGGUGUAGUGGUGGAAUGCGUAGAUAUCGGGAGGAACACCAGUGGCGAAGGCGGUUGCCUGGAGCUUUGCUGACGCUGAGGCGCGAAAGCGUGGGGAGCGAUCCGGAUUAGAAACCCUUGUAGUCC